UUCCCGGGCCUUGUACACACCGCCCGUCAAGCCACGAAAGCUGGUAGUACCCGAAGUCGCUGUCCUAACCGCAAGGAGGGAGGCGCCUAAGGUAAGACCGGUGAUUGGGGCU
rnacentral:rRNA from 1 species